UUAUGCCCACAUCACGUUGAAAAAACCAGUUCCCGUACGAGCACCAAAGUUAAGCAACGUUGAUCCUGGUCAGUAACUAGAUGAGUGCCUACUUGGUAAUACCAGAUGCUGUAAG